rnacentral:rRNA from 1 species
GAUGAACGCUGGCGGCGUGCUUAACACAUGCAAGUCGAACGAUGAAGCUCAGCUUGCUGGGUGGAUUAGUGGCGAACGGGUGAGUAACACGUGAGUAACCUGCCCUUAACUCUGGGAUACGCCUGGGAAACUAGGUCUAAUACCGGAUAGGAGCGUCCACCGCAUGGUGGGUGUUGGAAAGAUUUAUCGGUUUUGGAUGGACUCGCGGCCUAUCAGCUUGUUGGUGAGGUAAUGGCUCACCAAGGCGACGACGGGUAGCCGGCCUGAGAGGGUGACCGGCCACACUGGGACUGAGACACGGCCCAGACUCCUACGGGAGGCAGCAGUGGGGAAUAUUGCACAAUGGGCGAAAGCCUGAUGCAGCGACGCCGCGUGAGGGAUGACGGCCUUCGGGUUGUAAACCUCUUUCAGUAGGGAAGAAGCGAAAGUGACGGUACCUGCAGAAGAAGCACCGGCUAACUACGUG